CAGAAGCAGGUGGAGCUUGAGAUUGGUAGUUCUAAUUCUUUUCAGUCUAACUCUACUACUCAAAGAAUACCAGUAGAUGGUCCUGAGUCUACUGACGAAGUUGAUCCAGAGGAAGAGCAAUAUUCCAUAGCCAAGGAUAGACCACAGAGAGAUAUUCAACCACCACAAAGAUAUGUAAAUUUAGUUGCAUAUGCUUUGUCUGUUGCAGAAGAAACAAGUGAAGUUGGUGAGCCUACUACCUACUCAGA
rnacentral:lncRNA from 1 species